GGCAACGUGGCGGAGUGGUUAUCGCGACAGCCUCGAAACAAUUUAGAUAGCUGUUUCCUUCGGGAGCGCAGGUUCGAAUCCUGCCGUUGUCG